AGGGGGUUGAGCUUUAUGUCUGUUCAUCAGUUCAAGAUGUGGUGGAUGAUGCAGAGAAUGGGGACUCGCUGGUUGGAUCGGAUUUCACGAGGUGUAUGCUGGCCAAAGAACCAACUGGCUUCUCAUUUUCUACUACAUCUCUCUGCCAGUAGACUUUGCUUCAGGAAGCAGCAGCACUAGCUAGCAGCAAGUGAUGUUUUAUUUAUGGUGCAGACAAGCCAGCACAGGGAUUUGCAAGUAACAAUAGAAGAUGGGACUCCAAUUAUACCAGCACCUGCAAUAUUAUUUUAGUAUUUUCUUAAUUGAGCAUGAGUUUGAUAGCAAAUUUAGUUAACAACUGGUUGCAAUAUUGCUUGGUUGUGUUUUGUCGAUGAACGGCUAUAUUAUUGUAGUUUGGAGUUUUUCGAUGACUUUAGAUUGCGGUAGUUUGGCCUUUGGUAUAUUGAUUGUAUAUGGUUGAAUGUUAAAUAUUGGUAUUGCGGUUUCUAUC